rnacentral:rRNA from 1 species
AUGGGUUCUUGCGCGUCGGUCCACAAGGACGACGUCGGGCUGCCCAAGAAGCAGCAGCUGCUCGCCUCCUCGCCGCCGCCCAAGGACGGCAAGGCCGUCGACGGCGCCCCCGUCGGCGACGUCCUCGUCGACCUCAAGCGCAAGAUCGAGGGCUUCGGCCCCAGCAGGACCCCUGACACCGGUAGCAAGGAUGAGAUGUUCUUCGAGUCUCAACCGUGGUUAGAUUCCGACUGCGAGGACGACUUCUACAGUAUAAAUGGAGAUUUCACUCCGUCGCGCGGCAGCACUCCGGUCCAUCAACCCAGGGCGCAGACCGUGAUGAGCAGCGUAUUUCUACCUGACAACGCCGUGCAGAGUCCCAAUUCAUCGGAGGCUUCUCCAACUGGACGGAGAAAAUUAGCCGAUCUCCUGCAAGAGGCGACGCGGAACGACACUGGGGAGAGCGCCGACGCCGCCACCGGAGAGUCGGACGGCAGCAAGAGCGGACAACAAGCCGUUGCCCCAGCAGCUGGGAAGUCUGUGUCGGAGCGCAGCUCCGGCUGCAGCACGGAGCCGACGCCGGUGAGGGAGGCCAGGAGCCGGAAAGAGCGGGCCUGGUAUGCUGGCCGCUGCUGCCUGCCGACCUUCGUCCACAGCCUGGCCCUAGACGACGAGGGGCGGCAGAAGACGGGCCCUGGCCCCUGCGCCGUCUGA